rnacentral:rRNA from 1 species
AUUGAACGCUGGCGGCAGGCCUAACACAUGCAAGUCGAACGAGUGGCGGACGGGUGAGUAAUGUCUGGGAAACUGCCUGAUGGAGGGGGAUAACUACUGGAAACGGUAGCUAAUACCGCAUACCAUCGGAUGUGCCCAGAUGGGAUUAGCUAGUAGGUGGGGUAACGGCUCACCUAGGCGACGUUCCCUAGCUGGUCUGAGAGGAUGACCAGCCACACUGGAACUGAGUCACGGUCCAGACUCCCACGGGAGGCAGCAGAGGGGAAUAUUGCACAAUGGGCGCAAGCCUGAUGCAGACAUGCCGCGUGUAUGAAGAAGGCCUUCGGGUUGUAAAGUCCUUUCAGCGGGGAGGCGUUACCCACAUAAGAAGCACCGGCUAACUCCGUGCCAGCAGCCGCGGUAAUUC